CUUAGAGACAAGGAAAUGUUAGGAAUUUUCGUGAACUUCUCGUACGGGACGAGCUCUCUUCUCAACCAUUGGGUUGCGCUACUUUUAUCUAGUGCUCUAAUUUUCUUUAUCGAAUUUGUAAUUGAAGAUACAAGUUAUCUUUUUUUAUCUUUCAUCUCUGUUAUUAAGUCUUGAAGGUCAGCUUCGCAGUUUGGGUUUAGUGUUUUUUUGUAAUACUUGGACUUGGCAUAGAAGGUGUUUGACGAAAUGCCUCAGUGACUUGCUAUGAAACGAGUAGCCCAGAAUUUGUUUCUUUGCAUCUAGGGACCUCUUACUCUUGUUGGACUCAUGAGUUGCUUUGCUGGAAUUGUCAAAGGCUGAGAAAUCCUCUUACUUCCAUCACCUUAAAGCUUAAGUUGGGUUGGUGCUCUGGUUUUCACCAUGCACAUUUGUUGUUGGAAUUGCCAAGGGAUACGAAGUCCUCUCACUCUACCUAAUCUCAGGAAUAUCAUCUGGGAUAGCAAUCCAGGUUUGAUCUUCUUGAUGGAAACAAAAAAUGCUUACCAUGUGGUUAAAAAGAAGAUUGAAAAACUUGGAAAUUUCAAUUUGAAUUGCAUUAAUCCUAAAGGAACUGCUGGUGGUUUGUGUGCAGCCUGGAUUGAUGAUCUGAAACUUGAUAUUAUUACUGUUGACAAUUUUUUCUUCCAUUGUCAAAUCACAUAUUCUUAUUUGAAUGAUGAUUGGGACUUAAUUUUAAUAUAUGCAAAUUGUAAUGAUGAGAUUGAAGGAGCGGAAGCAUGAAAACAAUUAAAUUAGAAUAUUGAAUUCAAAAAUU
rnacentral:misc_RNA from 1 species